rnacentral:rRNA from 1 species
AACGAACGCUGGCGGCAGGCUUAACACAUGCAAGUCGAGCGCCCCGCAAGGGGAGCGGCAGACGGGUGAGUAACGCGUGGGAAUCUACCCAUCUCUACGGAAUAACGCAUGGAAACGUGUGCUAAUACCGUAUACGUCCUUCGGGAGAAAGAUUUAUCGGAGAUGGAUGAGCCCGCGUUGGAUUAGCUAGUUGGGGGGGUAAAGGCCUACCAAGGCGACGUUCCAUAGCUGGUCUGAGAGGAUGAUCAGCCACACUGGGACUGAGAUACGGCCCAGACUCCUGCAGGAGGCAGCAGUGGGGAAUAGUGGACAAUGGGCGCAAGCCUGAUCCAGCCAUGCCGCGUGAGUGGUGAAGGCCCUAGGGUUGUAAAGCUCUUUCACCGGUGGAGAUAAUGACGGUAACCGGAGAAGAAGCCCCGGCUAACUUCGUGCCAGCCGCCGCGGUAAUAC